AUGACAUCAUUUUAUGGCUGAGCAAUUUGCAGGCCAAAAAGACCUGAGACUCCCUGGGGUGAAGGGAAAUGCCACAGACAUCCAUGGUCUUGGAUGCUCAACAGAAGUGCUUGCCUUGGUGAUCCAAAAAAGGCAGGAUCCGGCCGGGGGCAAGGUGAUUAUUCUGUCUGAUGAGGAGAAUAAGAGCCAGUUUGUGGUAUUGACAGAAGAAUGAAAGUAAAGUCUUGAAAGAUGGGAAGAUCAGGAGCAGUCUGGAGUCAUGGUAUAUGAAUGAACUAGUGAGAGUGGGCACAAAGUCUGAAGAUCUUUGUAGUGCAGCUAAUGUCUAAGGGAGAAUAUACCUACCCUAGAAGAGACAUUAAACAACCAGGAAGCUUACUGCAGGAAAGAAAUCCCUCAGAGUCCUGAAGAUACAGCUUUCAGAACUUAGGUGAAGCAAGAGGACUCAAGGUGUGCAAGAAUGGACAGUACAGAAUGCUCUGCUACACUGCUCAGAUUCCCCCUUCAGGAAGGAAGGACAAAUUCACUCAACUUCUGGGAGCAUUGAUGGUUGAGCUCUCAGCCAUCAGACCUUUUUGGAAGUUGCCCUCUUCUGAAAAGAGGCACAUUGCCCAAGAUCUUUCCUCCUCCAGAGCGCAGGCUGCACCUGAAGUCUGAUUGAUGUGGGGUAUGAUGGUCUGGUCUCCUUUCCCCAUCUAAAGGACUGUUCUAACCUCAGGGCUCUCCUUGAGUUUCCUUAGUUAGUUCUUAUUACUAUGUUGCAGUCCAACUUCUUCUUUGGCCUAAUUCUACUUUCCUCCCAUUCCCCAAUUGUUGAUCCUGACAGCAAUUUCCCCCCAAAUUUCUGUAAACUAAGCAUGAUCUCAGAGUCACCUGACCUGCAACAUUAUUACAUACACUAUAGUCCGUGCACUUAAAGAUUUAGUGAAAGUAUGCUGCUGAAGCUUGCCAGAACUUCCCUUCUUCCACUGAAAAUUUGUCUGUUCAUAGAUAUACACCAUUCGUUCUCUUCUCUA
rnacentral:lncRNA from 1 species